CCCUUAGAUGUUCUGGGCCGCACGCGCGCUACACUGACGAUGGCAACGAGUUUUUCCUUCGCCGAAAGGUGUGGGUAAUCUUUUGAAACAUCGUCGUGCUGGGGAUAGAUCAUUGCAAUUUUUGAUCUUUAACGAGGAAUUCCUAGUAAGCGCGAGUCAUCAGCUCGCGUUGAUUACGUCCCUGCCCUUUGUACACACCGCCCGUCGCUACUACCGAUUGAAUGGUUUAGUGAGGACUCCUGAUUGGCGCCGCCGCCCCGGCAACGGAGCAGCGGACUGCCGAAAAGUUGUUCAAACUUGAUCAUUUAGAGGAAGUAAAAGUCGUAACA
rnacentral:rRNA from 1 species